GACGAACGCUGGCGGCGUGCCUAAUACAUGCAAGUAGGACGCUGAAGAGAGGAGCUUGCUCUUCUUGGAUGAGUUGCGAACGGGUGAGUAACGCGUAGGUAACCUGCCUUGUAGCGGGGGAUAACUAUUGGAAACGAUAGCUAAUACCGCAUAACAAUGGAUGACACAUGUCAUUUAUUUGAAAGGGGCAAUUGCUCCACUACAAGAUGGACCUGCGUUGUAUUAGCUAGUAGGUGAGGUAACGGCUCACCUAGGCGACGAUACAUAGCCGACCUGAGAGGGUGAUCGGCCACACUGGGACUGAGACACGGCCCAGACUCCUACGGGAGGCAGCAGUAGGGAAUCUUCGGCAAUGGGGGCAAGCCUGACCGAGGAACGCCGCGUGAGUGAAGAAGGUUUUCGGAUCGUAAAGCUCUGUUGUAAGUCAAGAACGAGUGUGAGAGUGGAAAGUUCACACUGUGACGGUAGCUUACCAGAAAGGGACGGCUAACUACGUG
rnacentral:rRNA from 1 species